rnacentral:misc_RNA from 1 species
GAAAUGCGAUAAGUAAUGUGAAUUGCAGAAUUCAGUGAAUCAUCGAAUCUUUGAACGCACAUUGCGCCCGCCAGCACUCUGGCGGGCAUGCCUGUUCGAGCGUCAUUUCAACCAUCAAGCCCCCGGGCUUGCGUUGGGGACCUGCGGCUGCCCGCAGGCCCUGAAAACCAGUGGCGGGCUCGCUGUCACCCCGAGCGUAGUAGUAUUAUCUCGCUUAGGGCGUGGCGGUGGGCACUUGCCGUAAAACAUUUUCCAAAGGUUGACCUCGGAUCAGGUAGGGACACCCGCUGAACUUAA